rnacentral:rRNA from 1 species
UGGUGGAGUGAUUUGUCUGGUUGAUUCCGAUAACGAACGAGACCCGCGCUGAUAAAUAGGAUGCAUGGUUUCACGACCGUGUAAGCCUUCUUACCAGGACAACUCUUGUUUAAAGAGGGAAGCGGCGGGCAAUAACA